rnacentral:rRNA from 1 species
CUUUUACAAUGAAGAGUUUGAUCCUGGCUCAGGAUGAACGCUAGCUACAGGCUUAACACAUGCAAGUCGAGGGGCAGCAUUUUAGUUUGCUUGCAAACUGAAGAUGGCGACCGGCGCACGGGUGAGUAACACGUAUCCAACCUGCCGAUAACUCCGGAAUAGCCUUUCGAAAGAAAGAUUAAUACCGGAUAGUAUACGAAUAUCGCAUGAUAUUUUUAUUAAAGAAUUUCGGUUAUCGAUGGGGAUGCGUUCCAUUAGUUUGUUGGCGGGGUAACGGCCCACCAAGACUACGAUGGAUAGGGGUUCUGAGAGGAAGGUCCCCCACAUUGGAACUGAGACACGGUCCAAACUCCUACGGGAGGCAGCAGUGAGGAAUAUUGGUCAAUGGGCGAGAGCCUGAACCAGCCAAGUAGCGUGAAGGAUGAAGGCUCUAUGGGUCGUAAACUUCUUUUAUAUGGGAAUAAAGUUUUCCACGUGUGGAAUUUUGUAUGUACCAUAUGAAUAAGGAUCGGCUAACUCCGUGCCAGCAGCCGCGGUAAUACGGAGGAUCCGAGCGUUAUCCGGAUUUAUUGGGUUUAAAGGGAGCGUAGGUGGAUUGUUAAGUCAGUUGUGAAAGUUUGCGGCUCAACCGUAAAAUUGCAGUUGAAACUGGGAGUCUUGAGUACAGUAGAGGUGGGCGGAAUUCGUGGUGUAGCGGUGAAAUGCUUAGAUAUCACGAAGAACUCCGAUUGCGAAGGCAGCUCACUAGACUGUCACUGACACUGAUGCUCGAAAGUGUGGGUAUCAAACAGGAUUAGAUACCCUGGUAGUCCACACAGUAAACGAUGAAUACUCGCUGUUUGCGAUAUACAGUAAGCGGCCAAGCGAAAGCAUUAAGUAUUCCACCUGGGGAGUACGCCGGCAACGGUGAAACUCAAAGGAAUUGACGGGGGCCCGCACAAGCGGAGGAACAUGUGGUUUAAUUCGAUGAUACGCGAGGAACCUUACCCGGGCUUAAAUUGCAACAGAAUAUAUUGGAAACAGUAUAGCCGUAAGGCUGUUGUGAAGGUGCUGCAUGGUUGUCGUCAGCUCGUGCCGUGAGGUGUCGGCUUAAGUGCCAUAACGAGCGCAACCCUUAUCUUUAGUUACUAACAGGUCAUGCUGAGGACUCUAGAGAGACUGCCGUCGUAAGAUGUGAGGAAGGUGGGGAUGACGUCAAAUCAGCACGGCCCUUACGUCCGGGGCUACACACGUGUUACAAUGGGGGGUACAGAAGGCGGCUACCUGGUGACAGGAUGCUAAUCCCAAAAACCUCUCUCAGUUCGGAUCGAAGUCUGCAACCCGACUUCGUGAAGCUGGAUUCGCUAGUAAUCGCGCAUCAGCCAUGGCGCGGUGAAUACGUUCCCGGGCCUUGUACACACCGCCCGUCAAGCCAUGAAAGCCGGGGGUACCUGAAGUACGUAACCGCAAGGAGCGUCCUAGGGUAAAACUGGUAAUUGGGGCUAAGUCGUAACAAGGUAGCCGUACCGGAAGGUGCGGCUGGAACACCUCCUUUCU